AUGAUAUCUUACUUAUGUCCUAGUUUACUAGUGUCUACUCUGGUUUAGUGAUUAGUUGUCUCUCAGGAACAGCAUCGAGUCCACUGGUGGCUGCUCUCGGGGGACUGUUAGCCUGCUGUGGGGCAGUCAUCACCAUCCUCAUAUGUUACAUAGCUCAGACGAAGGCGUGUGUCUGUAAAGGGACAAGGAGUCAUUCCCAUCAUAAGACACCAACCGUGGAUCAGUCAAAUGAUCUGGUUGGUGAAGCCUCAGUCAUGAACUACGCAGCUCUGGACUUCUCAAGCAGGAGAAUGAAGAAGGGGACGAUGAACACGCUGCCACAGGAGGGUUUCUACUCUGUGGUUAGAGCAGAGGAUCCAAACCAGCGAUGAUCGACUCUAUUCAAAGAUCACGUGACUGACCAACCGCUGAAUGUGCUGCUUCCUUACAGAUACAG